rnacentral:rRNA from 1 species
UGCAUAUCAAUAAGCGGAGGAAAAGAAACUAACAAGGAUUCCCCUAGUAACGGCGAGUGAAGCGGGAAGAGCUCAAAUUUGUAAUCUGGCACUUUCAGUGUCCGAGUUGUAAUCUCGAGAAGUAUUUUCCGCGCCGGACCGCAUACAAGUCUGUUGGAAUACAGCGUCAUAGUGGUGAGAACCCCGUAACUGAUGCGGAUGCCCGGUGCUUUGUGAUAUACUUUCGAAGAGUCGAGUUGUUUGGGAAUGCAGCUCAAAUUGGGUGGUAAAUUCCAUCUAAAGCUAAAUAUUGGAGCAAGACCGAUAGCGAACAAGUACCGUGAGGGAAAGAUGAAAAGCACUUUGGAAAGAGAGUUAACAGUACGUGAAAUUGUUGGAAGGGAAACGCUUGAAGUCAGACUUGCUAUUCGGAGUUCAGCCGCAAGGUGUAUUCUUCGAUUUGCAGGCCAGCAUCAGUUUUUGGGGGUGGAAAAUCGUGGUUUGAAGGUAGCAGUUUCGGCUGUGUUAUAGCUUUCCACUGGAUUCAUCUUCGGGGACUGAGGAACGCAGUACGCUUUUUGCAAGGCUUUCGAGCUUUUCGUACUUAGGAUGCUGGUGGAAUGGCUUUAAACGACCCGUCUUGA